GCUUUUGAAAACUAUGUUGCAGCCUGGUGGAGGAGGGUGCUAUACUUGGUACAGGCCAGUUGAUCCACUGAACUUCUCCUACAGACUCUUCCUGGCAGAGCCUGAAUAUAGUCUUUUGAUUAUCCUCAGUAAGCCAAGAACAUCAGCAUGAUUCUUUUGUCUCUCCUUAUUCUUCUCUUCUAUAUCAUUCAAUUUCCAUUUGCUCUCAUAUUUUGGAAAAUGUGCUUUAGAGGCCUGGGGAGGACAUCUCAUCUUCAAGCAGAUUGCUGGCCUUUUAUCAAUUUUACAUAUCACGAUUCUAGGUAAGUUUUCCUUU